rnacentral:lncRNA from 1 species
UUUCAAAGAUUUUACUGAGUUACAGUUAAUAAGGAAAUCAGUCAAUUGAAAUAAAUUCAUUAGGCCCUAAUCUGGAUUUCACAUGACUGGAAAUACAGACAUGCAUCUGUUAUCACAGAUACCUAAAAAAAAUCUAGGGGGUUGGAUUCGAAAAACCAGUAUCUCGUGUGACCACCAUUUGCCUCAUGCUGCGUGACACAUCUCCUCGCAUAGAGUUGAUCAGGUUGUUCAUUGUGGCCUGUGGUCCCACUCCUCUUCAAUGGCUGUGCGAAGUUGCUGGAUAUUGGCGGGAACAGGAACACGCUGUCGUACAUGUCGAUCCAGAGCAUUCCAAACUGCUCAAUGGGUGACAUAUCUGGUGAGUAUGCAGGCCAUGGAAGAACUGGGACAUUUUGAGCUUCCAGGAAUUGUGUACAAAUCCUUGUGAUAUGGGGCCAUGCAUUGUCAUGCUGAAACAUGAGGUGAUGGCAGCGAAUUAAUGGCACGACAGUGGGCCUCAGGAUCUCGUCACGGUAUCUUAAAUAGCCACAAGCCAUACACACUGUCUGCCGUCUGCCCGGUACAGUUCAAUCCGGAAUUCAUCCAUGAAGAGCACACCUCUCCGGCGUGCCAGUGGCCAUUGAAGGUGGGCAUUUUCCUACUUAAGUCGUUAAUGAUGCCAAAAUGCAGUCGGGUCAAGACCCUAGUGAAGAUGACGAGCACGCUGCUGAGCUUUCCUGAGAUGUUUUCUGACAGUUCGUACAGAUUUUUUUGUGCAAACCCAGUUUCAUUAGCUGUCCGGGUGGCUGAUUUCAGACGAUCAGCUUCUUGAUAAUCCAUCCAUCUGACAGGUGUGGCAUAUCUUGGCAAAGGUGAAAUUCUCACCAACAUGGAUGUAAAUUCGUGCACAAAACUUUAGAGAAAUAAGCUUUUUGUGUGUAUGGAACAUUUCUGGUAUCUUUUAUUUCAGCUCAUGAAACAUGGGACCAACACUUUACAUGUUGUGUUUAUAUUUUUGUUAAGUAUACUAUUGUGAACACUUUGGUCAAACUUCUUCGUUCCCCUGCCUGUUUUUUGAUGCACUGGUGACAAAGUAUGCAAAAGUUCACUGCAAAUAGGCUGUGGUUUUGGUAUAAUUUGGCUGAGUAGGCUUGUGCACAUUUACAUUACUGUUUCAAUUAGUUAACUAAGUUAUUGAUUUAUUCAUGUUUUUGGUGGUGUUGCAUUUCAGAUGAAGAGGGAGGAUCACUAGAAAGCAGCAUGCAGACUGAUCAGGGCCCGUAUUCACAAAGCAUCUCAGGGCCCGAGAAGAAAGCUGUUGCCCAAUACCUUGCACAACAGUCUUUCACCAUAGGACCCCAGAGGCCACUGCAUGCUGUGACAUGGGCUUGGAUGGUGACACAUCUUCAAGCUUCCUGACUGAAUAUUGGGGUCUUCAGUGGUUCUGGAAGCAAGGGCCUUACCUGGGAGUACAGCAACAGUCUCUCUGUCUCGCAGCCAUUCUGUCAACAUGUAUAGUACAGAACCCACUCAAACUCAUAGAAACUGCUACGGACUCAAGCACUGAUUUAUAUUUACUUUGUCCCAUUCUUUAAUCUUGUUUGAGAUAUAUAUUUUAGUUGAGACACCUGUAUGAGAGAUUAUUAAAAAUGUAUUCACUUUAAAUCAUAAGCUCUAAGUGUAUUUGUCUUGAUGUUUAACUUAUCACAUGAGUUAGUAAAAAUUGAAGACCAACAUGCUAUGAAAAAG